UGCACCAAACCUGCUGCCCGAAUGAGAAGGAUAACAAGCAAACGUGACCAUAGGGAUUGGACAAGAUCCACUCAACUAAGUAAAGAGAAACAACAGUCCAUCAUUACUUUAAGACAUGAAGGCCUAUUUUGCCAGAUGAAAAUAUAACCUAGCUGUGGGAAAGGAGUCAGAUUUGUAAUCAUACAGUUCUACUGGAUGUGCAGAACUUGCUGAAGGCAACAGCAGUCACUGAGAAGUCUAAUUCCCAGCGGUGGAACCGGAAAGAUGUUUUUAAAAUUGCUUUAUUUGCUUUAGGAAUUCAAAUGGCAAGGUUGUGACCUUGUGUUUUUUAGUGCAGCACCAACCCUAAGGCCUAAACCUCUUCACAGACCGUUAUUUUAAAUGCAUCAGCAACCUUACACUUGCCCUUGACAUUUAUCAUAAACAUCUAUCAAUGUAUUACAUAGAAUCUUAAAGGGGUACUCCGGUGGAAAACUUUUUUUUUUUUUUUAA